AUGAAGACCUGUAUGAAAGGCAUCACGAGAGUUUAACUGUCUCUAUUUUCUAAUCAAUGAAAUUGAUCUAUUCGUGCAGAAGCGAAUAUAAUAACAUUAGACGAGAAGACCCUAUGGAGCUUCAAACACUUAAAUUAAUUAUGUAAUCCUCCCCCUCCCAGGGGAUAAACAAAACAUACAAUACUUCUAAUUUAACUGUU
rnacentral:rRNA from 1 species